rnacentral:rRNA from 1 species
UACGUAGGGUGCAAGCGUUAAUCGGAAUUACUGGGCGUAAAGCGUGCGCAGGCGGUUGUGCAAGACAGAUGUGAAAUCCCCGGGCUUAACCUGGGAAUUGCAUUUGUGACUGCACGGCUAGAGUGUGUCAGAGGGGGGUAGAAUUCCACGUGUAGCAGUGAAAUGCGUAGAUAUGUGGAGGAAUACCGAUGGCGAAGGCAGGUCUCUGGGCUGACACUGACGCUCAUGCACGAAAGCGUGGGGAGCAAACAGG